AACCAAAUAAAACACAGAAACCCCACCCACCCCUUUCUAUUUCUCUCACGUGCAUUUCACUCUCUACUCCCAUCUUCUAGAAUUCUCUCCACUCUCACUUUCAUUUUGUUCGUCUGUAUUCCAAUUCACCAUAAUUCUUUUUCUCUUCUCUCCACUCUUGAUGAUUAAUUACUCAUAUAAGCAAAGCUAUCUCCUAGUCUACAAGUGUUCAUGGGUAAAGAUUUUGGAGUUAGGGUUAUUGCUCUAAGAAAGGAGAAGAAUACCCAUCUCUUGAAAGUUGGUCAUUUAUAUUCUUUGAGAUUCGAUGAAAAUUGCUCCGGUGGUCAUUCCGGAAGGCAUUGCUAGGAACGGAGUUGAUUCGUCAUAGUUAUUCAAAGUCAGCUGAGUAGGGGUUUCUAGCAGAUAUUGAGAGUCGUCGGUAUCAUUCUAUUGAUUCGAUGAAAAUUGCUCCGGUGGUCAUUCCGGAAGGCAUUGCUAGGAACGGAGUUGAUUCGUCAUAGUUAUUCAAAGUCAGCUGAGUAGGGGUUUCUAGCAGAUAUUGAGAGUCGUCGGUAUCAUUCUAUUGGUAGGCUUCCUUGAUGAAAUGUUACUUUGUAUAUGUAUAUUUUGAGUUGAUUGAAUAUCUGCAGCUAUUUUGAGUCUAGGAAUCUUUUGUGUUGAAAUGUAUAAAUUUAAACAUGUAUAUUUUGAAACUUCUGACUUAAGGAUGUAUAUGCUGCAAACAGGAUUUAUUUUGAU